GUGGGCCUCCUGAACACAUCUAUGAUGGGAUUGAACUGAUACCUGUAACAAAGCAGAGGAAAAAUGAAGAAGAUGAAGAUAGUCUAAGUGGGCCUCCUGAACACAUCUAUGCUAACAGUGAACUGAUACCUGUAACAAAGCAGAAGAAAAAGAAAGAAGACAAAGACAGUCUAAGUGGGCCUCCUCAACACAUCUAUGCUAACAUUGAACUGAUACCUGUAACAAAGCAGAGGAAAAAGAAAGAAGACGAAGACGGUGUAAAUGGGCCUCCUGAACACAUCUAUGAUAGGAUUGAACUGAAAUCUGUAAUAAAGCAGAAGAAAUAGAAAGAAGACAAAGGUGCUGAAUCUAAUCAUGGGACAUUGGAGAAAAAAAGAAAGAAAACGGGAAUGAUUUUAGUUUAGUACUGCAGAGUGUAUUGGCUUGUAUGUGAAAAAGUUACGUUUUCCUGGAAAACCUGG